rnacentral:rRNA from 1 species
AACGAACGCUGGCGGCAUGCCUAACACAUGCAAGUCGAACGAGACCUUCGGGUCUAGUGGCGCACGGGUGCGUAACGCGUGGGAACCUGCCUUUAGGUUCGCAAUAACUCAGAGAAAUUUGAGCUAAUACCGGAUGAUGUCUUCGGACCAAAGAUUUAUCGCCUUUAGAUGGGCCCGCGUUGGAUUAGCUAGUUGGUGGGGUAAAGGCCUACCAAGGCGACGAUCCAUAGCUGGUCUGAGAGGAUGAUCAGCCACACUGGGACUGAGACACGGCCCAGACUCCUACGGGAGGCAGCAGUGGGGAAUAUUGGACAAUGGGCGAAAGCCUGAUCCAGCAAUGCCGCGUGAGUGAUGAAGGCCUUAGGGUUGUAAAGCUCUUUUACCCGAGAUGAUAAUGACAGUAGCGGGAGAAUAAGCUCCGGCUAACUCCGUG